rnacentral:rRNA from 1 species
GUGAACCAGUACCGUGAGGGAAAGGCGAAAAGAACCCCUGUGAGGGGAGUGAAAUAGAACCUGAAACCGUGUACGUACAAGCAGUAGGAGCAGGCUUUGUCCUGUGACUGCGUACCUUUUGUAUAAUGGGUCAGCGACUUAUAUUCAGUGGCAAGGUUAACCAUCUAGGGGAGCCGUAGGGAAACCGAGUCUUAACUGGGCGUUCAGUCUCUGGAUAUAGACCCGAAACCAGGUGAUCUAGCCAUGGGCAGGUUGAAGGUUGAGUAACAUCAACUGGAGGACCGAACCGACUAAUGUUGAAAAAUUAGCGGAUGACUUGUGGCUAGGGGUGAAAGGCCAAUCAAACCUGGAGAUAGCUGGUUCUCCCCGAAAGCUAUUUAGGUAGCGCCUCGGACGAAUACUAC